rnacentral:tRNA from 2 species
GGAGAGGUGCGAGAGCGGCCGAAUCGGCACGACUGGAAAUCGUGUGGGCGGAAACGUCCCGUGGGUUCGAAUCCCACCCUCUCCGCCA